rnacentral:lncRNA from 1 species
AUUAAUUGAGCCCCAAGUAAUUCUCUACAACUUUCCUAAUUCUCUCUUCUUCACAGCUGCGUGAACAAAGGAUCUUGAAAUUCACUUUUCCUUUCAGACAUAGGCCAUUUAUGGAAGACCGAAACUGAUUGAUUCAUUAUACCUUAAUUAAACCUGGAAGGUUUUGUAUAAAUACCACCCUCUUUACCAUCAUUCUUCUCACACCAAAAGCAAUCAAGCAGCGUAGAGGUCAGAAAGUUUUCCCUCUUUUCUUUAUAGUUUUUAGAACAGAAGGUUGAACCGAGGCUCAUGCCAGUGACCGACAACUUCUCUGCUAAAAUUGUGUUUAUUGUUGUAAUUUUUCAAUCUGUGUUGGUGUUCUCAUCUUCUUCCCUCUCUCUUCCCGAGUCUGUACCUCCUUAUUUUUUUACUCGUUGCCUUGUCUCUCACUUUUAUUCUCUUUUAUUUUUGCAUUUUAGUUUCUGGGCCACAUCUAUACAAAUAGCCGAUUUUUAUAGUAAAAGAAUUCUUCUACCUUAUUAAGAAUUGACAGAAGCUUUCUUAUCAAUCAACACCAC